rnacentral:rRNA from 1 species
GGCUUGCUACUUCGCUGUCGGCUCUCCCUAUCCUGGUGGUGCAGCAGCUGCCAAGGGUGGGGUUGUUCGCCCAUUAAAAGGGAUCGUGAGCUGGGUUUAAAACGUCGCGAGACAGUUUUGUUGCUUUUUGAUGGAGGUGUAGGUGCCUGACGAGAAGGAUCCUUUAGUACGAGAGGAACAGGGAUUCGUCGCCUCUAGUUUAUCAGUUGUCUGACAAGGCAUGCUGAGUAGCCACGCGAUAGCGGAUAAGAGCUGAAUGCAUCUAAGCUCGAAGCCGCCUUGAAAAAGAGGCACCCAUAGAACGCUCAUAAAUGAUGAGUUUGAUAG